GAUGAAGAACGCAGUAAAAUGCGAUAAGUAAUGUGAAUUGCAGAAUUCAGUGAAUCAUCGAAUCUUUGAACGCACAUUGCGCCCGCCAGUAUUCUGGCGGGCAUGCCUGUUCGAGCGUCAUUUCAACCCUCAAGCACAGCUUGGUGUUGGGACUCGCGUUAAUUCGCGUUCCCCAAAUUGAUUGGCGGUCACGUCGAGCUUCCAUAGCGUAGUAGUAAAACCCUCGUUACUGGUAAUCGUCGCGGCCACGCCGUUAAACCCCAACUUCUGAAUGUUGACCUCGGAUCAGGUAGGAAUACCCGCUGAACUUAAGCAUAUCAAUAAGCGGAGG
rnacentral:misc_RNA from 1 species